rnacentral:rRNA from 1 species
UGGGGAAUAUUGCACAAUGGGGGAAAGACCCUGAUGCAGCGACGCCGCGCGAAGGAAGAAGUAUCUCGGUAUGUAAACUUCUAUCAGCAGGGAAGAUAAUGACGGUACCUGACUAAGAAGCCCCGGCUAACUACGUGCCAGCAGCCGCGGUAAUACGUAGGGGCAAGCGUUAUCCGGAUUUACUGGGUGUAAAGGGAGCGUAGACGGCAUGGCAAGUCUGAUGUGAAAGGCAUGGGCUCAACUCCUGGACUGCAUUGGAAACUGCCGGGCUUGAGUGCCGGAGGGGUAAGCGGAAUUCCUAGUGUAGCGGUGAAAAUGCGUAGAUAUUAGGAGGAACACCAGUGGCGAAGGCGGCUUACUGGACGGUAACUGACGUUGAGGCUCGAAAGCGUGGGGAGCAAACAGGAUUAGAUACCC